GAACGCGAAGAACCUUACCCGGGCUUGAACUAAGAGUGACAGAUUUAGAGAUAGAUUUUUCUUCGGACACUCUUGGAGGUGCUGCAUGGUUGUCGUCAGCUCGUGCCGUGAGGUGUCGGCUUAAGUGCCAUAACGAGCGCAACCCUUUUCCUUGGUUGCCAUCAGGUAAUGCUGGGCACUCCAGGGAUACUGCCAUCGUAAGAUGUGAGGAAGGUGGGGAUGACGUCAAAUCAGCACGGCCCUUACGUCCGGGGCUACACACGUGUUACAAUGGGGGGUACAGGAGGUCGCUACCUGGUGACAGGAUGCUAAUCUCCAAAACCUCUCUCAGUUCGGAUUGGAGUCUGCAACCCGACUCCAUGAAGCUGGAUUCGCUAGUAAUCGCGCAUCAGCCAUGGCGCGGUGAAUACGUUCCCGGGUCUUGUACACACC
rnacentral:rRNA from 1 species